rnacentral:misc_RNA from 1 species
AGAGAAUAAUUAAAGCGUUGCUGCUUGUUAUCAAUUAUAAUAUAUAGGUUGAGUUUCCUUUAACAGAAGCUCAAUCACUAUUUCUGCCUAACACCUAAACAACGAGUAUAGGGAUAGGGUAGAGAAAAAGUUCAAUAACAUUUUGAGAGAAGAAAGAAAUUAGAUCACCGAGAGAUC